rnacentral:rRNA from 1 species
UACAGAGGUCUCAAGCGUUGUUCGGAUUCAUUGGGCGUAAAGGGUGUGUAGGUGGCGCCGUAAGUCGAGUGUGAAAUCUCGGAGCUUAACUCCGAAACUGCAUUCGAUACUGCCGUGCUAGAGGACUGGAGAGGAGACUGGAAUUUACGGUGUAGCGGUGAAAUGCGUAGAUAUCGUAAGGAAGACCAGUGGCGAAGGCGGGUCUCUGGACAGUUCCUGACGCUGAGGCACGAAGGUCAGGGGAGCAAACGGG